rnacentral:lncRNA from 1 species
AGACUGUUGAAUCUGAGCCCACUUUCUGCAAGAUUUCAUUUGAAAUUCAGAGUACAGUCCUGGCCUGCAAAAUCAGGCAGGAUUACUGAUUCAAAGCACGGACUCUGUCCUGUAUGAAUUCAUCUCCUGAACACCUGUACCAGGUUUCUGGCAGCAGAUGACAGGCUGGGACUGCAACGGGAGAAGGAGCACAGCUUAACUCCGCUCGGAGGGUCAUCCGAGACUGCGCCGCUGCCUGCUGGCAUGUGGUCCGGGUCAAGCGACAAUUACGGAGGAACUGCACAGGGCCAGACGGCAGCUCUUAAUUUCCCUACUUUUUAA